GACGAACGCUGGCGGCGUGCUUAACACAUGCAAGUCGAGCGGUAAGGCCCUUUCGGGGGUACACGAGCGGCGAACGGGUGAGUAACACGUGGGUGACCUGCCUUUAGCUCUGGGAUAAGCCUGGGAAACUGGGUCGUAAUACCGGAUACGACUCCGCGGUGCAUGCUGUGGGUGGAAAGCCUUGUGCGGCUGGAGAUGGGCCCGCGGCCUAUCAGCUUGUUGGUGGGGUGAUGGCCUACCAAGGCGACGACGGGUAGCCGGCCUGAGAGGGCGACCGGCCACACUGGGACUGAGACACGGCCCAGACUCCUACCGGGAGGC
rnacentral:rRNA from 1 species